UGGGGAAUAUUGGGCAAUGGGCGGAAGCCUGACCCAGCAACGCCGCGUGAAGGAAGAAGGCUUUCGGGUUGUAAACUUCUUUUAAGAGGGACGAAUAAAGUGACGGUACCUCUUGAAUAAGCCACGGCUAACUACGUGCCAGCAGCCGCGGUAAUACGUAGGUGGCAAGCGUUAUCCGGAUUUAUUGGGUGUAAAGGGCGUGUAGGCGGGACUGCAAGUCAGAUGUGAAAACUCAGGGCUCAACCCUGAGCCUGCAUUUGAAACUGUAGUUCUUGAGUGCUGGAGAGGCAAUCGGAAUUCCGUGUGUAGCGGUGAAACGCGUAGAUAUACGGAGGAACACCAGUGGCGAAGGCGGAUUGCUGGACAGUAACUGACGCUGAGGCGCGAAAGCGUGGGGAGCAAACAGGAUUAGAUACC
rnacentral:rRNA from 1 species